GGUGGUUCUCGAGUGAUGCACCCCAGAAUGGGGCUCCCUCCUCUCUGGCUCCGGGUGUGUUUCCCAAGAACCGUA
rfam:Myotis davidii contig202908, whole genome shotgun sequence.